GUCCCUUUGGCGACAUCCGAUAAAAUUGGAACGAUAUAGAGAAGAUUAGCAUGACCCCUAUACAAGGAUGACACGCAAAUCGAAUUGGUUGUAUUUGGUUGU